GACGAACGCUGGCGGCGUGCUUAACACAUGCAAGUCGAACGGAAAGGCCUCUUUCGGGGGGUACUCGAGUGGCGAACGGGUGAGUAACACGUGAGUAACCUGCCCUUGACUUUGGGAUAACUUCAGGAAACUGGGGCUAAUACCGGAUAGGAGCUCCUGCUGCAUGGUGGGGGUUGGAAAGUUUCGGCGGUUGGGGAUGGACUCGCGGCUUAUCAGCUUGUUGGUGGGGUAGUGGCUUACCAAGGCUUUGACGGGUAGCCGGCCUGAGAGGGUGACCGGCCACAGUGGGACUGAGAUACGGCCCAGACUCCUACGGGAGGCAGCAGUGGGGAAUAUUGCACAAUGGGUGGAAGCCUGAUGCAGCAACGCCGUGUGCGGGAUGACGGCCUUCGGGUUGUAAACCGCUUUCGCUGAUGACGAAGCUUUGUGUGACGGUAGUGGGUAAAGAAGCACCGGCUAACUACGUG
rnacentral:rRNA from 1 species